rnacentral:rRNA from 1 species
CCGGAGUUAAUACCGCAUACACUCUAUGGAGAAAAAGCAGGGGAUCGUUCGGACCUUGCGCUAUUGGAGUGAGCCUAUGUCGGAUUAGUUAGUUGGUGGGGUAAAGGCCGUACCAAGGCGACGAUCCGUAGCUGGUCUUAGAGGAUGAUCAGCCACAUCGGGACUGAGACACGGCCCGAACUCCUACGGGAGGCAGCAGUGGGGAAUAUUGCACAAUGGGCGCAAGCCUGAUGCAGCUAUGCCGCGUGUGUGAAGAAGGCCUUAGGGUUGUAAAGCACUUUCAGUAGUGAGGAAAAGUGUUGCGUUAAUAGCGCAAUGCUGUGACGUUAGCUACAGAAGAAGGACCGGCAAACUCCGUG